AUACGGAGGGUGCAAGCGUUAAUCGGAAUUACUGGGCGUAAAGCGUACGUAGGCGGUUAUUUAAGUCAGAUGUGAAAGCCCCGGGCUUAACUUGGGAACUGCAUUUGAAACUGGGUAACUAGAGUUUAGUAGAGGGGAGUGGAAUUUCAGGUGUAGCGGUGAAAUGCGUAGAGAUCUGAAGGAACACCAGUGGCGAAGGCGACUCCCUGGACUAAAACUGACGCUGAGGUGCGAAAGCGUGGGUAGCAAACAGGAUUAGAAACCCCAGUAGUCC
rnacentral:rRNA from 1 species